UCAAUUUCCUCAUGCACUAGUAUAUAUUUUGAGAGACUAUAUAUAUAUAUAUAUAUAUAUAUUCUCUUCUUCUCUAGCAGUAGCUAGCAACUUGUACUGUUUUUUUUCUUUUCGGUUUUUCCCUUCACGGCUUAAUGUUAGAGGCUCAGACUUUUUACUCAGAGGGGUCCCCUAUGACUCUAUGAGCCCAGUUGGCUUGUGUAAUAUAUUUAUAUCAUCUGUAUGAAAUGAAUGAAAUCGACAGAAAAUUAAAGCUCUU